GUUUAUUUACAUGUUUUACAACUACAAGAUGCUGAGUUAGUAACAAUUUAGAGGAUGUUUUCAAAGAAAUCAAACAGUCGGAACUGAGAGAUAAUGUGCAGUAUGUGACAGACUAAAGUUCGAAGAACUUUGGAAAUAAUGUAGAAUUGGUUCAAAAAGACACUAGAAGCACACUAGCACAAAAUGGCCACCACCACUAUCACCAUAAAGUGUGUGCUGUGCAGUCUGUCUACACCAGCUUGCUUCUGGAAUGUAGAAGAGUUCAAGAUCGAACCAUGUUGAAAAGCCAACUGGAGCUGGUCAUGGACCUUUGCCUGCCAUUUAUCCAGAGCCUGUCUCAGUGGUGGUAGGUAUAUCCUGCUUGGACCAACAGUUGACCACACCAUUGAGUCCAUGAUCUCAGUAGCAGCCAUGACAACAUAUACAGACUGACACCUGCAGUAGGCCUAUGGAUGCAUACAAUCUGCACCUCUUACCUUGGGCUGUCAGUUUGAAACAUCUCAACUCAGAAGGAAGUGAAUGAAUCCCCAGGAUUGUUCCUCUCAGGACAAUCUCUUCAACAGGCUGUUGACAGUUUGCAAGCUCUUUGGAUGGAAUUACCUUAGCUUACCUUGCAGAGAAUCUGUGAUAUAAAAGACCUCUUUUGCGCUGCUUUGUGUUAAUGAUUUACAAACAGACGCAUUUUAUUUUUUAAAUAUCUUAAUAAUACAUUUUGUAGGUUGACCUUAGACCAUGAAACAUUAAUGGUAGGAUAUCUUUGACCAGAACAUGACCAGUAUUGUAUUUUGAGUUUGUUGGUCAAAGGUGAAGGUCAUGGCAAACUGUGGUUAAUCUGCACAAUGACUCUUGAAUUCUUUGACCUAAGACCAUUAAUAUUUAGUGAUUGCUAUCACUCCAAUGCAUAUUAACAGGGUCCUGCUGAAAUUUAGCUAGAGCUUGUUAAUUAGCAUUGCAAAUCAUUAUUUGUGUACGUAACUAUAAAUACUGAUAGGCUUUGUGUCAAAAACUUGACCAUCACAAAUUCGGGUCAUUUUUUAUCUUAUCUUGUUUCAGCCUUGUCAUUUUUGUAACACUUUUUACAGCAAUCAGGAACAAAGGUUUGUGUUGUUGACUUUAAGAAUGUACAUUACAGCUGCACUCUACAGUUUUUACAUUAUUUUGCAUGUUUUGUCUCAGAACCAUCCUUCAAUUUAAAUUAUUUAAGAUUAAACAAUAGAACAGAUCUCAAUUGUGUGAAAAACUGCUGAUUUUUUUUCUUAAAGCGUAUUAGUAACUCUUGUAGCCAUAAAACAUUGAUUUCCAGUUGGAAAUUAAAAAAAAACAUGAUCUGAUCUUUUGUUAGCAAUCAUAUAUAAUUAUCACUGUUUUCCAGACAUCUAUCACAAAAUACAUCAUUCCAAUACAAAAAAGAUGUCAAAUUGGUCGAUCCGGCUGUGAGAGAGCAGCUUUAACCCUUUAGCGCAUGUAUACGAGAUAGGCCGACAUAAAGACCGUAUGAUAUAUUAGGUUUCAGAGCCAAUGUUUUUGCAUAAUUAUAUAAUAAGUUUUCCAUUUACAUGUUAUUAAACCUGUUAAAUUUAUUCACUGGUUAAGGUUACAUCCAUCAUUCAGUGUUAUGAAAAAUGUUAAUAACAGUUAUUUGUUUGAGGACCUUGUAACUUUGUGUUAGUUUGCACUUAAACAGCAUACAACCACUAGCUGAUUCAGCAGGGGUACUUAUUAUGUCAAUAUCAAAAAAAGGUAAUAAAAUGGGCUAAAUAUGCAACAUUUCAAACGUGGUUUGUUUAAAAUUUCCCUGAACCCCACUGCAAACAUUUAAAACUGUAUCAUUUUCGUCUCUGAGGGAUGGGCGUGUGUCAAAAGGUUGUGCCCUUAAUCAUCCCCCUCUUACAUCAAUUCCUGCUUGUUUUUGAAAUCAGUAGUUCAAAGUCACUGUUAAUGCUGUAAGUAAAACAUUCUUUGUGUUUUAUAUCUCAGACAGUUAAUACAUUUUUAGUAUAUUUGACUUGACCAGUCGAUUAUCCUUUAUGAUCAUUAGGUCAAAAGGUCAAUAUUGCAGUCAUUGCUGAUAUAUGCCUUCUUUAAUCUAGCACAAUGUCUUUAAACAUCUUUUGUUUAAAUGUAUUUAUUUGUUUAAUGAGUGCAUGUACUAUUGCAUUGUGCAAUUGUUGGUUGGAGUUAAUGUUCAGCGUGUGUAAAUUAGCACAAGUAUCUUUUUAACUAAAAUAGCAUUAUGUACAGAUGUAUUCUCUUUGAUGCUUUUUAACCACAUUAUUUGCAAGAUCUUUGCAUAUACUGACAGGUAUUGGUCUUAAUUAGUUAAAUGAACAAUAAAUGGUUACAAUGCAGUCAUAUUUGACUAACUUUUAAAAUAGCCCUCUGUGUGAAUUUUGUUGUUGUUUGUUUCCACUAACCUGACUGAUCACUAUUUUUUCCUCGGACCCUACACCUUUUGCUGUAGUGUGUAAUUGUUUUCUUUAUUUUCUAAAGAAUGUGCUUUUUUAGUGAACAUGUUAAAUUUUGACCAUGUUAAGCUUGACUAUUGGAAGAAUAAGGAGGCUUUUCUACUUGCCCCAGUGUUGCUGUUGGCGUCCGGUUCAAGGUUUUGAUAGGCACAUUUUAUAUUUCUAACCAGGUUUUCACUGUGAAGUGAAACCUGGUUAUGAAAUGACAUUGUUUUGUGGGCUGGUCAGCAGGAGGACAACAUCAAAUACACCUAUGGUACCUUAUAAUUUUAGUUAAGUUUGACAGAGAGUGACCAAACUUGGUAUAAAGGUAGAGUUUAUUGAGAUUUUACAUGGGAUUACAUUUGCGGCUCCUAGGAUCAAGGUCAAGGUCCCUAAUAAUAUAAAUAGAAAAAUGGUUAGUACUAGUGAUGAUUACCAAGUACUAUUGAUUAAUCGUGACUGACAAUACCGGUACUAUGUCGGCGACAAUCGAUAGUGGUUGUCCAAAAUCAAUGUCACUAAUGUUACUUCCUGUAACUACGUAUGUUUUGUUUUGUGGUAAAACUUGAGUUAAUGUCAUUUUUUCUUUCAUGUAAAUUCUUGUUGUAUUCAUUUUAAGAAGGGUGUCACUCUCUUACACAAAUGCGGUGAAUGUAAACACUUGUGCUUAAUACCUUACAAACUCUCCCAAAAUUAUAAAUUGUUUUUAAUUGUUUAUAUAUUUCAUAAAACCUUCUUCUAUAAGCUGUCUCUAUAGUGUAGUGGGUCUGGUCAUACCUGUGAAUACCGGGGAUCCCGGCGGGAUGCAUUCUGUUUUUGAAACCUUUUUUGGUUUCGUUUGUAAUUAACUAGUUUACUUUUUUGGUGGAAGUUUUAUGAAAUUUAGAUAUUCUAAUGAUAUGUUCAAUAUAACAGGUUAUUGAAUGUUAAGCUGAUUUACAAAUAUUGAAUAUUUUUUUACAUUGAUAAAAUACAAAGAUGACUUUUUGCAAUUGAUGUGCAAUUAUUAAGUAUGUGUUGUGUUGUUAUGGUUUUUCAUUUAGUUAUUAAAGACAGGAAAAGAUUAAUAAAAUUUACUUACUGUUGCCAAGGCAUGACUAUAGCAUCACACAUACUGAUUCCAAGUCAAACCAUCUAAAUGAUCAUGAUGAUACUACAUGUAUGUAUAAAGAAUGUAUUCCUUACAGAUAUUAUGAACGUUCGAUUAUUGUCCGAUAGUAAAUCGAAAUGCUUGUUUUGAUUCAAUUUGAUUAUCGAUAGCAAAUGGAGUCUGAUUUUCAAACACUAGUUAGUACUGAAUAACUAGUUAGCGUUGACAUAUAGUGACCAAACUUAGUAUAUAGGAAGAGCUUAUAAAGACCUAUCAUUGGAUUGCAUUUGGGGCCCAUAGUAUCAAGGUCACCAUUACAAAAAAAAAAAAAAACCUAUUGAAACCUAUUCACUCAACAAAGGGUAAUUAAUUAUGUUUGUCUGUCAAUCAUUGAAAAUCUGUUUUUGUUGCAUUGCAGCAUUUCUUGCUUACUUUUAAUUUUGACUGUUUUAUACUGCAUUUGACAGCCACAUAUUUCAUCAUUAUUGUAUUUAUUUCUAAGACAAAGUGGCACAUAGUUGAUGGCACUGUCCUAUGACAGCUCUUGUUUAUCUUAAAAAAAUAGAAUGGUGAUAUACCCUGGUAUAGGUAGUUUGGGUACAGAACCCCGACUCUAAAAAUAAAAUAGAAAAAGGCAUAUUGACCUACCCUAUUUAUAUGGAGAAGUUAGUUGAAACAAAAAACUUUUUUGACCAUUUAUAUUAAAUAUUGUAUCCCUAAGGUUUUUACUUAAAGCUCCAUGUUAAGCCAACAAGGUAACUGUUGUUUUCAAAUGUAAUACAUAUAGCUUUUGCCUAUAAACUUUCAAUAGUUCAUUGGAACCAGUAGGUUCAUCAAGAUGCAUCUAUGUUCAUUUACUGUAGCCCAGUCCAGAACAUUUGUCACAUUGUUGUGUCAGCACUUUUUUGAAUGGAUUUUUAUUAUGAUUUCAAAUAAAGCAUUUA